rnacentral:rRNA from 1 species
CAGUAGCCACGGGAACACGGAUGGGGCUAGCGUUGUUCGGAAUUACUGGGCGUAAAGCGCACGUAGGCGGCUCGGUAAGUUAGAGGUGAAAGCCCAGGGCUCAACCCUGGAAUUGCCUUUAAGACUGCCGAGCUAGUAGGUGAGAGAGGUGAGUGGAAUUCCGAGUGUAGAGGUGAAAUUCGUAGAUAUUCGGAAGAACACCAGUGGCGAAGGCGGCUCACUGGCUCAUUCUAGACGCUGAGGUGCGAAAGCGUGGGGAGCAAACAGGAUUAGAUACCCCCGUAGUCCCUGUCUCUUAUAC